ACUCAAAUGAAUAGACGGGGGCCCGCACAAGCAGCGGAGCGUGUGGUUUAAUUCGAUGCAACACGCAGAACCUUACCUAGACUUGACAUGACGGUGCAAGGGCGGGAAACCGUCCCCCUCUUCGGAGCACCGCCACAGAUGUUGCAUGGCUGUCGUCAGCUCGUGUCGUGAGAUGUUGGGUUAAGUCCCGCAACGAGCGCAACCCUCGUGCCCUGUUACGAUGUCAGGGCAGACGGCCUCUAACCGAGGAGGAAGGUGGGGAUGACGUCAAGUCCGCAUGGCUCUUACGUCUAGGGCGACACACACGCUACAAUGGCCGGGACAAUGCGCGGCGAGGGGGCGACCCGGAGCGAAUCGCAAAACCCGGUCUCAGUUCGGAUCCCAGGCUGCAACCCGCCUGGGUGAAGUCGGAGUUGCUAGUAACCGCGUGACAGCAUAGCGCGGUGAAUAUGUUCCCGGGCCUUGUACACACCGCCCGU
rnacentral:rRNA from 1 species